AUCCUGGCUCCUUGCGCUGGAGCAGCAGCUGUUUACAUUCAGUGCAUUUUUUGCAACACCCUUACUAAGAAAAUGAGUGCUCUCAUGUGUUCUUGUUACCCUUGAAGUCAUCAGCAAUAGCACUUGUGCAGCUGAUGAAAUCAGUAUGCCAAUCCUUCCAAAAACUUGCUGAGUUUUUCAGCCAUGCCAGCUACCAACUGUAAGGCAAGCUCUGCUGUAGCUGCUGUAUGGCAACCUUAUUUAGACAUGCAGUAGUUCCAGACUUGAUUUAGCUGUCCACUCCCUUCUGGCUGUGAAGGAGUACAGACAAGAGUAAUAAAAAAAAAUUACUGAAGUGGCUUGAAUUUCAAGGGACUUUAAGGCACACAAGUGUUACUUACUUUCCCCAAGGAAACUUAGCACAGGACUUCAAGUUUUAUGUCUAUGUGAAGAAUUCCUAGUGCUCUGCGUGUAUGUGCUUGAUACUUCUCAACAGCUAACCUUCUCUUCAUUUACUUGUAAAGCUAUUAGAACGUGUUUCACAACAGUCUGGAUGACAUUUUGAGCACGUAGAGCCUCUGAAUGCGAGGAUGAAAGAGAUGCUUGUAUCAACACAAAACAUAGGUAUAGACUACAGCAUGACUGCUGUAUAUUUAAUUAUUUCAAAGCUCAGUUAACUUUUUACACAGAGGGGCAAGGACUGCAAUGAGGUGCAAAGGUUAUGGACUGUGCUUUCAGUUGUGUUCCUUAGAGCAGGCUUAUGGUACUCCUUAUGGUACCAUAAGUACUCCAGGUACUUAUGGUACUCCUGUACCAGGCUGAGCUGCCUGGGCAGGGGGAUGGCUCAGCUCAAGGUUAGGGCUGCCCCGUGCCUGACACAGCUGGGCCCAGCAGGGAAGAACUGUAUUAUGAUAAUUCCAAAUCACAGUUAACAGUUUAGUAGUAGUAAGUUUAUUGAAGUGUUCAUUCAAAGUUCUGCACUCUACUGGAUACAGUUCAUAACUUAAAGGCAAGAGACCAAAACAUCACGAUGGGUCCCAACUGGAAUAUUACAAAACUCACAUAAUCAUGUAUCAAGCAGUACAGUUAAACUGUUCAAUCAUUUUGGUCUUCAUCCCAGUCUUUCUUUCCUGAUGGAGGUUUAGGACCACCAGCUGGUUUCGCCAUUAUGAUCUGAUCGACUCGUAGGACAGUUACUGCUGCGUUUGUGGCCAGCUUGAUACCCCAGUAUUUUCCCAGGUAUGUGUCUAAUAUGCCAGCUUCUAACAUAUCUUUCACAGCAGCAGCUUCAGCCUCAAUAUCAAAUCCAACGUUUUUGUUGCCUUCCUGAUGCACAGCAUAAAGCUUGGAGAUGACUUCAUUUGCCUUUACUCCAGAAUUUUCUGCCAAUGCUCGAGGAAUGGCUUCAAAUGCUUCAGCGAACUUCUUGAUGGCAUAUUGGUCAAGCCCAGGACAAGUCUCUCCAUAAGACGUGAUUUGCUUGGCUAAUUCAAUCUCUGUUGCGCCACCUCCAGGAACAAGACGUUUGUCCCUUGUGAGCACUUUGAAGGUAUUUACGCCAUCAUCCACUGCUCUCUCGAUAUCAUCCAUCAGAUUGUCUGUAGAUCCACGAAUAAGUAUAGUAGAAAUAGCACCAUCCUCCUUUUCGUGCUUAAACACAACAACUUGCGUAUCUCCAACCUCUGAUAAAUACACACUAUUGCAGUGACCCAUUUCUUCUAGAGUAGGGGGAGUCAGUCUGGGUAGGGCUGUGGCACCAACAGUCUUGCACAGUCUUCUCAGAUCCCAUUUUGAGUUCAACCUGACUAUCAUAAGAUUGUAUUUGUUGGCAUAAUGAAGUGCCAUGUCUGCCACUUUGCCACCUGUUACAACUACAUUUGCACCGCUAUCAGCAAUAGCUUUGACUUGCAAAUCCAUUAGGUUUUCUUCUCCCUUGCUAAAAUUCAUCAGCUCUUCAGCAUUCUUUAUAAGUACGGUGCCCUUAGUUUCAGUUAUCAUACCAUCAAAAGGGCAGGAAUACACAGCUAUUUUUGCAUCUUUGACAGAAGUAACAUCUCCUUCAGUUUCCUUUUUAAAAACCAUGCCAUGUAGCACUGAUGAAGCAGAGACACCGGCACCCACAAUCUUGCACACUCUGAUAUUAUCAACGUUGAAAUGACCAGAAUCAGGAAGAAUAGAAACACAGGCCUGAGCAAUAAGCUUUGACAGAAAACUUUCAUUGCCAUACUGCUUGCUCAUUACUGAAGUAUGCAACAAAGAUCCCACUUCAUCAACAUCUCUAAGGUUCUUUGCAGAACAGCACACCAAAUCUGGAAGAAUUUCUAGAGCUUUCUUGCAUGCUUUUUCAUAUCCUUCAAUCACCUCUGAGACCGAUAAUCCCAUCCUCAGAAGGUCUUCUGCUAACUCCAGAAGGACUCCAGCAAAAACAAGAACAAAGUUAGUUCCAUCUCCAACUUCUUGCUCUUGCAUGUGGGAAGCCAUCACAAGCAUUUUUGCAGCAGGAUGCUGGACCUCCAACUCUCUCAAGAUAGUAGCAGCAUCAUUUGUAACAAAAAGCUUCUCCAGAUGAUUGAUAACCAUUUUGUUCAUUCCAUUGGGUCCAUAAGCUGUACGGGUGGUUUGAGCAAGUUCUUUGCAUGCCUGGAUGUUCCUGUAGACAGCUUCCUCUAGUCCUGAGUAAUGCUUCGCUCCCUCCUUGAGCAUCUGGGCAAAGCCCGGGGCCUUGGGGACGUGCAGCGCCAUGGCUCCGCUCCGCUCCGGCCGCGCCAAACCUCAGGAUGCUGGGACCGGCAGCGCGCAUGCGCGGUGAGCGAGGCGGACCCGCAGACACGGC
rnacentral:lncRNA from 1 species